rnacentral:lncRNA from 1 species
AUGACGGAGAAGGGAAUGGGCCGUGGGGCCGGGGGCUUGGGGGGGGGGGGGGCGCAAGGGGAGUGGGUUGGUGCCCCGGGGUCCGGCGGGGCGUGCCCCCUCUCCCGUCCCCCCUCGGCCGCCGGGCGGUCCCCGGGGGGAGGCCGCCCCGCGGUGCCACCCGCGCCCAGACGGUCACGCUCGCUCCCGCAGCCCCGCGCCCGGACUCGGCGGCGGGCGGGCCCGGGACCGGCCCGGGGCUCCGGCGGCGGCGGGGUCCCCCGGCCGGCCCCGCGGGGAUCCCCCGCCGUUCAGGGGGAGCCCACUCCUCGGAGCGCUCUUCGCCGCCGACGCCUCCCCGGACGAAGACGACGCCAGCGACCUCACCCACGGCUUCGGCCACAUCCUCUGUGGGAAUCCUAUCAAGGCCCUUCACGAGCGACGGCAGAAACUGAAGGUUCCUGGAAAUCAUUCAGGGGGAGAAAGAGAAGGAGGAAAAAGAGGAG